GGUCCCAAAGUCUUAGUAUAAUACAGUACACAUGUUUUCUGUUAAACCACAAGUUUAAGAUGUUGUGGUGUGAAGGUAAUAUUUUUAUGUAAUGGAGACCAAAAUUGCAUUGUAUUGUUUUCUUAUAGGUGAACAGCUUUCUCUCGAGGGCAGCACUUGUCACAAAAUACAUGACAAAGGCUGGAAGAGUGAACAUGCUAACGCGACAGGCCAUGGGUUGGAACAGAAGAAAGAGGGACAACCUUCAUCAAGUGUUAGCCCACAGAUAUGUCAAAAUCACAGAGAGGGCAAAGGUGGAAGCUGCCAACCUUAGCAACAUCAAGGAGGAGCACAACCUUGAUCAGGAGACAAUACAGCAGUGGGUAU